UAUAGGCUGCGUUGUUCGUAAUCUUAAUAAAGUUUUAACCUUUAAGCUGUAAUAGGGAGUUUUUAAUAGAAGCUGGAGUGACAAACCUCUGUCUAUAGGACAUGGAGGACAUUCAUGAACGUUUCUGCGAACACCCACUUUGAGGAGUGGUGGUUUAAAACUUUCUUAGACUCAUUACGGCAGAGGCGGCUUAUAC
rnacentral:other from 1 species